UUUAAGAGAAAAGAAAGAGAAUCGACCUUGAAAGUAAAAAAAGGGAAGAAAGGAGAAAGAAGAAAAGAGAAAUGAGAAAGAAAAAAAAGCUUGGGGGAGGUUCAGUUUUGGAGAAAAUUGGAGAAAAACUAAAAGGUUUUCUCUUGCAUGCCAUUGUCUGAGCUUGAAGGAGACAAUGGAGGUUCAGCUUAGUGAUUUUAAGAGAAGUGAUCAGCUAGCGUGCUUUUCAUCGGCAUAUUAUGGUCCACUACAACAUAGGAAAUUGAUAAAAAAGACUCAUUUGAUGAAAAUCAG